GGUCACCAGGGUGAUCUGGCUGUGAUGCCUGUCACCCCAUGGUCACCAAGGUAGAAACAGCUGAUCUGGCUGCCUAGUAUGGUGUUCCUUUCUCUCCUUUGAUCCAGGUGUGUCCCUCCCAAAGCUGCAUACACUGUCCAAGAAGACAACAUCCCCAGGUAGAGGGAGAAUCUUCUCAGACAAAGGUCCAUGAGUAUUUGGACAUCCAGCUCAAACAAGUCCUGAAGUAUAUGACUCUGGUUCAU
rnacentral:snRNA from 1 species